rnacentral:rRNA from 1 species
UUAGUGGCGAACGGGUGAGUAACACGUGAGUAACCUGCCCUUGACUCUGGGAUAAGCCUGGGAAACUGGGUCUAAUACCGGAUAUGACUGUCUGACGCAUGUCAGGUGGUGGAAAGCUUUUGUGGUUUUGGAUGGACUCGCGGCCUAUCAGCUUGUUGGUGGGGUAAUGGCCUACCAAGGCGACGACGGGUAGCCGGCCUGAGAGGGUGACCGGCCACACUGGGACUGAGACACGGCCCAGACUCCUACGGGAGGCAGCAGUGGGGAAUAUUGCACAAUGGGCGCAAGCCUGAUGCAGCGACGCCGCGUGAGGGAUGACGGCCUUCGGGUUGUAAACCUCUUUCAGUAGGGAAGAAGCGAAAGUGACGGUACCUGCAGAAGAAGCGCCGGCUAACUACGUGCCAGCAGCCGCGGUAAUACGUAGGGCGCAAGCGUUAUCCGGAAUUAUUGGGCGUAAAGAGCUCGUAGGCGGUUUGUCGCGUCUGCUGUGAAAGACCGGGGCUCAACUCCGGUUCUGCAGUGGGUACGGGCAGACUAGAGUGAUGUAGGGGAGACUGGAAUUCCUGGUGUAGCGGUGAAAUGCGCAGAUAUCAGGAGGAACACCGAUGGCGAAGGCAGGUCUCUGGGCAUUAACUGACGCUGAGGAGCGAAAGCAUGGGGAGCGAACAGGAUUAGAUACCCUGGUAGUCCAUGCCGUAAACGUUGGGCACUAGGUGUGGGGGACAUUCCACGUUUUCCGCGCCGUAGCUAACGCAUUAAGUGCCCCGCCUGGGGAGUACGGCCGCAAGGCUAAAACUCAAAGGAAUUGACGGGGGCCCGCACAAGCGGCGGAGCAUGCGGAUUAAUUCGAUGCAACGCGAAGAACCUUACCAAGGCUUGACAUGAACCGGUAAUACCUGGAAACAGGUGCCCCGCUUGCGGUCGGUUUACAGGUGGUGCAUGGUUGUCGUCAGCUCGUGUCGUGAGAUGUUGGGUUAAGUCCCGCAACGAGCGCAACCCUCGUUCUAUGUUGCCAGCGCGUUAUGGCGGGGACUCAUAGGAGACUGCCGGGGUCAACUCGGAGGAAGGUGGGGACGACGUCAAAUCAUCAUGCCCCUUAUGUCUUGGGCUUCACGCAUGCUACAAUGGCCGGUACAAAGGGUUGCGAUACUGUGAGGUGGAGCUAAUCCCAAAAAGCCGGUCUCAGUUCGGAUUGGGGUCUGCAACUCGACCCCAUGAAGUCGGAGUCGCUAGUAAUCGCAGAUCAGCAACGCUGCGGUGAAUACGUUCCCGGGCCUUGUACACACCGCCCGUCAAGUCACGAAAGUUGGUAACACC